GACGAACGCUGGCGGCGUGCUUAACACAUGCAAGUCGAACGGGAGUAUUGAAGAAGCUUGCUUUAGAGAUACUUUAGUGGCGGACGGGUGAGUAACGCGUGAGGAGCUGUCCGAUGCAGGGGGACAACAGUUGGAAACGACUGCUAAUACCCCAUAAGCCGAGAGGUAAAAGGAUUUAUCCGGCAAUGGAGGUACUCGCGUCCUAUCAGCUAGUAGGUGAGGUAACGGCUCACCUAGGCGAAGACGGGUAGCCGGCCUGAGAGGGCGAACGGCCACACUGGAACUGAGAUACGGUCGAGAAUCCUGCGGGAGGCAGCAGUGGGGAAUAUUGGGCAAUGGGGGGAACCCUGACCCAGCGACGCCGCGUGGGUGAAGAAAUCCUUCGGGAUGUAAAGCCCUGUUGUAUGGGAAGAGCGGAAGACGGUACCAUACGAGGAAGCCCCGGCAAACUACGUGCCAGCAGCCGCGGUAA
rnacentral:rRNA from 1 species